GAAAGCGUGGGGAGCGAACAGGAUUAGAUACCCUGGUAGUCCACGCCGUAAACGGUGGAUGCUGGAUGUGGGGACCAUUCCACGGUCUCCGUGUCGGAGCCAACGCGUUAAGCAUCCCGCCUGGGGAGUACGGCCGCAAGGCUAAAACUCAAAGAAAUUGACGGGGGCCCGCACAAGCGGCGGAGCAUGCGGAUUAAUUCGAUGCAACGCGAAGAACCUUACCUGGGCUUGACAUGUUCCCGACAGCCGUAGAGAUACGGUUUCCCUUCGGGGCGGGUUCACAGGUGGUGCAUGGUCGUCGUCAGCUCGUGUCGUGAGAUGUUGGGUUAAGUCCCGCAACGAGCGCAACCCUCGCCCUGUGUUGCCAGCACGUCGUGGUGGGAACUCACGGGGGACCGCCGGGGUCAACUCGGAGGAAGGUGGGGAUGACGUCAGAUCAUCAUGCCCCUUACGUCCAGGGCUUCACGCAUGCUACAAUGGCCGGUACAACGGGAUGCGACACCGCGAGGUGGAGCGGAUCCCUUAAAACCGGUCUCAGUUCGGAUUGGAGUCUGCAACCCGACUCCAUGAAGGCGGAGUCGCUAGUAAUCGCGGAUCAGCAACGCCGCGGUGAAUGCGUUCCCGGGCCUUGUACACACCGCCCGUCAAGUCAUGAAAGUGGGUAGCACCCGAAGCCGGUGGCCCAACCUUUUGGGGGGAGCCGUCUAAGGUGAGACUCGUGAUUGGGACUAAGUCGUAACAAGGUAGCCGUACCGGAAGGUGCGGCUG
rnacentral:rRNA from 1 species